rnacentral:rRNA from 1 species
GAUGAACGCUGGCGGCGUGCCUAACACAUGCAAGUCGAGCGAUUCUCUUCGGAGAAGAGCGGCGGACGGGUGAGUAACGCGUGGGUAACCUGCCCUGUACACACGGAUAACAUACCGAAAGGUAUGCUAAUACGGGAUAACAUAAGAAAUUCGCAUGUUUUUCUUAUCAAAGCUCCGGCGGUACAGGAUGGACCCGCGUCUGAUUAGCUAGUUGGUGAGGUAACGGCUCACCAAGGCAACGAUCAGUAGCCGACCUGAGAGGGUGAUCGGCCACAUUGGAACUGAGACACGGUCCAAACUCCUACGGGAGGCAGCAGUGGGGAAUAUUGCACAAUGGGCGAAAGCCUGAUGCAGCAACGCCGCGUGAGCGAUGAAGGCCUUCGGGUCGUAAAGCUCUGUCCUCAAGGAAGAUAAUGACGGUACUUGAGGAGGAAGCCCCGGCUAACUACGUGCCAGCAGCCGCCGUAACAC